UCGAAAUUCCAAACUGUCGUUCUGCUGCUUAAUUUGUAUUACUUGUAAGGUUACCUAUUUUUAUUUUAUGUCUUCACGAUGUUGUAUCUCUAUGAUUGAUAUUCUUCAUUAUUUGUCAUAAUGUUAAUUCAUUGCUAUUAUAAACAUUGACAAAAAUUUGCUAAUGUUCUAGUCUCCCAAUAAAGAUUAAUUAACGAUUUAACAUAAUUUUAAAGCAGUGUCUCUACUUGCCCCACUUCAUAGUGACUACUCUGUGUAGUGGGGUACAAAGAAGUUUAUUUAAAGAGGUUCCAACUAAAAAUUAACUGAGAAGGUACAUAAAGAAAAUGUAUAUUUUCCUUCCCGAAGCAUUAUACGCGUGGACAAAUGAUACCUCUUUCUGCUCCAUUUUCCUAGCGUUUCGCGUAAUAUCGCACGUCCGAAAUUCGUGUCGUCAACUAAAAGGAAGCAAAGUACCGCGACGUCGAAAUUGCGUCGAAGCGACACGUCCGCUCGCGGAUUACAUACCUACGCUACCACGAGCAGUGUAAACGAAACGUGUGAAUAUUAAGUGACUAUAGUGUUGCAUAACGCGCCACGACAUCGUUUGAUAAUGAUAAAAUUCUAUUUUUGCGCCGCGUUCGGCGCUCGUCAGUUUCGCUAUCGAUACGCUUCGAUUCGCGUCGUUUUGUGCUAUCCACGUAAAUUCAUCUCCAGCUAACAGCGUUGCUCUAUCGAUCCUUUUUUUUUUUUUUUAAGUAAGUGGAAUGAACGAUCAACCGAUUAUUAACAUAAAGAGUGAUACAUUAAACGUAUUUAAGGUUUUUAAUCGAAGGUCUGUCGACUGAUUAUAGCUUAGACCACAUUGUGCUUCGAUACGUUUCCACAAAAAUAAUCAAAAGUAAUACAAGUCAUUUAGUUGUUAUCGAAUGAAGCUUUUUAUCCACGAUGGAAGGAUACUUUGAACACGUGUGGUACGAGAGAUGAAUAUCAGAGGACGGGAUGACACUAUACACAUCUACGAUAUAAUUAUUACGUAAUCUGUGGUAUACUUCUCGCGAUUGACAAAUCCAUGUGGAUUAAUACACAGCAAGAGGAUGACGAUGCGUACAGCGGGAAAAGUUGAUGCUACGCAUAGAUUCUUUGCACAUGUAGUAAAUACCAAUUCGAAAAGAACGCGUCCGUUUAACGGGGAGCGCAAAUGGGCGCACAAGUGAAUCGGAGCUAACGACGAGGAGACGUAAAAGCGAAAGAUACUGGAAUGCAUGUAGCGGCUUGUCGCUGUGCUCGCAGAGGGGCCACCUGUUUGGGAGCUAACGAUGUUGCUGCUUAGCAGUGGUAUAGCGGUCAACAAAGGGGUUAAGCAUCGACGUUCGAAAUAAUUAAGUUCAUUAAACGUCUCUGCUGGUACGGUCAUUCCACCGAGUCGCUUUUGAACGGCGCAUGAUGAAAAGCUAUUGUUUGGCCGUCGGCUAUGCCGAGCAUCUCUCUCCUGGACAAUAUUUAUCGUAACAACCUUUGCCCCGUAGCUCGGAACGAUUUUUAUUUUCUCGGAUUACGAACGUUCGCGACUCGGACUGACGCGAUCAAGAAAUUUCAUGACGACGUGCGAUUCCUUCCGUCGACGCAGAACACUGUACAGUGCUUCGUUUCGCGCGUGGCGUCGUUUUUUAUUUUUUCAUUUUUACUCGUGCCUAAUAAGAGCUCUCCGAACGAGAAAACCGAGACGGUUGGUAAUCGAUCUAUCAUCCAUUCUCCCCUACUUCGAGCAGGAUCGCCCGGUGCAACCAUAAAUUAAUGUUUUAAUAAAAUUGAUUAAAGGAAAAUCGAGAAGAAAUUAAUCUCACUUUUUUAUGUAGACUUUAAUUCCCUUUGACGUUAAUUAACACUAGCAAACGAUCGGUUUUAAAAUUUGAUUCGACGCUAUGCACUAAUCUCGUUUUGAAAAACUAAAAAUAUAGUUACGUUAUAAAAAUUAAACAAUUACUCCGACGGAAGUCAAGGCUUAAGAAUUCAGCGUAACAUAAUGCAUGUGGUCAGCAAAUGGAGGAAAAAUGAUAAACGUUCUUCUUGCCCGCGUGUAAAGUGCGCGAUAAAAACCGUGACAAGGAUCGUAAAUUAACGAUCGAAACGUUUAUGUGAAAAUAAACUGUGUCCACGCUAUAAACUAGCGAUAUUGUGCUACUUUCACAUUCAAAUUCAAUGUAAAGAAUUCAUUACACGGUAAUAAAAAUGUUAUAUUUAGGAAAUAGAUAGUAGAAAGAGGGUUUCAAUUGCUUUCUCGCAUUUCUAUCGACUCGUGCUGUUUGUGUUUUCGUUGACUCUUGCGCAAUCGUUGCCAAAAAUUGUACACAAACAGAGAUAAAGCCUGGAACGAAAUUCACCGAUACACCGAUAGUAAAUGGAGAGUACUCCAACUCUGAACAAUAUGUGUUUUACAUAUUCAUUGUGUUAUACAUAACACGAUCGUUUGCUGUUCGCACUCAGAAAAUCGUUGUAAUUUGAUGCCUCGAAAACCAAACUUUACACUCUGUGUGUUUCUCACUCCGUGGAAUACAAAAGCCGAUUUCUUUAUUGAUUAUUCUCAGAAAUAGUAUUUCAGGGGAAGGAUAAUAAAUGAUACAUUCAUUACGAGCGGAUUACAAGUAGUAUAAAUAUCCUCCUCGGAAAAUAAAAAACUAAAAAUACUCAGAGGUACAACAGUCUCCUGACGAUGACUCAGCUAACAACAGGCGCAAUGUUGCGGUAUACUUCUUACGAAUCCGGGGAACUCAAAUCAUUUUUCGAAAUAUCGAUAACUAAAAGAGACGACGGGAAAGCGUGAAACUUUAAAAUCGAAAUUUAAUAACCAGAAGAUUCAUACUCGUCUACGAAUCGCGAUCCGACGGGCCGAAGAUUCGACGCGGGAAAGCUUCGAUGGAAAUUUUCCUCUGCGCUUCUCUUAUCUGCUCGUUAAGUAAACUGUUAAUGGUUAGAGUACGGUGGACCCCGGCACGAUACAUACAUCGGCCGUCGUCGCUCUAGUAAUUUCUCGGGAUACAAGACACGGUCGCGCGAGCUCGGCUCCGUUUGCUUUUAUACGUCAGAGAUUCGUGUAUCAGAGCCAAGCGACGAAAAUACGACGUCGCUUCGAUACGCUGAUUACCGGGGGCAAAUAAUACAGCAGACUAUUCUCGCGAUUUGAGCAGUGUACCGUGAGUUCUUUUUUUUUUUUCUUUUCUUUUCUUCACUCACGACUACCGUAAACACGAUGCCUCUGACCGAACGAGAAAAAAAGGCGACGGUGGUGACAUUGUCCGUCGUAGUGAUACGACUGUUUCGCUACUUCGAUUUCGCGAUCGUGAGACGCAGAAGAGACGUCAACAACGCGCUUGGUUCCGUAAAUACACGGUAGGAUCGUCCGCACGGUCGCGCGUGACAAAGAAAUCGAAGAUUUCCAUCACAAGGCGCGUGUCACGCGUCGAAAAUUCGUCGCGGGAGCAUCGCGAGUCGUCGUGUCGCCGCGAUGCACUUUAAUCGACUGGAUUUACGGCUUUUCGUGUUCGCUAUCGUUCCGACGGUUGUUGUUCCGCGCGUGUACGUAAAAGAGAUCGCGAUGGGCGCCCUUCUUAUCGCCAAGAAAUCGACCUUUCCGACCGGGGGGGAUACGCAUCGUUCGGCGUGAUCACGGCUCAGCCGUCGCUACCGACGCGUGUACAUCGAGUGACAACCGAGAAUUUUUGUCAUAGGAAUUUCCUCGGAGCAGUUGGCGUACGUCCAAUCGUUCGAUCUAGCGAACAGCCUGCUAGAAAACGUCCUCCUAUUUGCUCGUGUGUACCGCACAACUAUUCUCGCCGGUUCUCUCUCGGGAGAGAGCGAGUGGUGCGUCGACCGACGACGCUUGGGUCGACGGACAGAGAAAGAGAGUGGGUACGGAGGAAGAACACAGGAAAGCAAAGAAAGAAGGGAGGAGGAGGAGGAG